GUCAGUUAGUUGUAGUUAGCAGGGCUCGGUUAGGUCAGUUUGUCAGUCCCAAUGCUGAUGUAGGGUCAGGAGUGUUUUUGUAAGGGUUACGGUAGCAGUGCAUUUUCAGCUACUGACACCUUAACAUUCGGAAAGCCGAUAACCCUCAAGGUCGUACCAAAAGAUGUAGCGCCAACUCCUCCGUUUCUGUCCAUCUUGUCCCCUUUCAAUGGCAAAGGACCAGAUAUUUGUCUGGCCGCCGGGUUCUUUCCUCAAGAAAAGACUAUGACUUUGAAUAUGAAAGUGAAAAAACCUGAGAAUUUUACCACCAGCAAUGCACCUUUGUUCAAAUCGUCCAAAACCUAUUAUUAUGCUGGAUCCUCUGAUGAUGAAAUCCAAAAAUGCCAAAUGGAUGAAGAAACUGCAGACAAAACGCCUGACACUCCUGACACGACAGAUAAACCCGAAAAACUGACUCCACAGUCUUGUGAAACAAAUGCUAGAACUUCUCCCUCAGGGUUCAUAGACACUGGUGAUCCAAAAAUGAACUUCAUGAAUCUUCUUGUGACAGGUCUGAGAAUUCUGCUUGCUAAAUGUGUUGCAGUUAAUGUAAUGAUGACUGUAAAGGCAUUCGUAUUUUAAAAGUUCAAUUCAGCCAAAUCAUCUGAAUAAUCUCAAUUUUGAACUGGAGCUUGAUCGAACCCUGACAAACAAACAAAUGCGGUUAUACAGUCAGCCACAGGGUCAGUAUUAAUCUAUAUUCUGUCUAAUAAUGUUAAAUGGAAUGAAAAUACAAAUUGUUAGUAAUGUCUUUCAUAUAUACAGAAUAUCGACAAACAUUGCAAACCUUUUUGACAUUUAGAAACAUUUCUGAAUUCAGUGGUGUAAUGUGCGUAUUGCUUUGCAAUGGUGUGUGUAUUUUCUGGCUUUAGUUGCAAACAGGUGCAAGUACAUUUUUUGAUACUUUUACUUUUUUUUUUACUUUUUUCUUUUUUUACAUAACAGCAUUGCAUUGUUUAAGACUUUUACAUUGUCUAAUCGUGUAACGGAUUACUAUUUGACUUAACUAUUGAGGCUCUGAUCUUU
rnacentral:lncRNA from 1 species